rnacentral:lncRNA from 1 species
CAACUAGCAGAGCAAGCAGACAUAUUUGAGGAGUGUGACGGUCCCGAGUAGUGGGUCACACUAUGUCACAUCGGCUGCUGACAAUUUAUUGUUGAAUAUAAAGAAUUAAGGACUAUGGUUGUAAUGUAUGCUGAUUCACUACCGGCUUAUCACUGUGGCGGAUCCAGGGAGCUGAAUGCAGUUAUUUCCGAAUCUCUGGAAUAUCUUUGUGGUUGUGAAUCGAAAUUUGAAGUGAAAUUUGAACACUGAAAAGUCUUGUGAGUGACAGAAGAUCUGUGAUUUAAUUUAUUUGUGAUGUUAAGUGAAUAUAUCUAGUGAUAGCUAGAUAAAAGUGCCAUCGGUUUGUAUACUAUUUCUAAAUCCAAUAAAUUAUAAAUAGUGUAA